AGCAGCCGCGGUAAUUCCAGCUCCAAUAGCGUAUAUUAAAGUUGUUGCAGUUAAAAAGCUCGUAGUUGAACUUCGGGGUUUACCCAUUGGUCAGGCUUAAUUGUCUGUACUGGUGAGCUGAAUCUCUACCUUCUGAGGAACUUUCAUGCCAUUUAUUUGGUGUGAUGGGAAAUCAGAACUGUUACUUUGAAAAAAUUGAGUGUUUAAAGCAGGCUAACGUCUGAAUACAUUAGCAUGGAAUAAUGAAAUAGGACGGACUGAUUCUAUUUCGUUGGUUUCUAGGAUCACCGUAAUGAUUAAUAGGGAUAGUUGGGGGCAUUAGUAUUCAAUUGUCAGAGGUGAAAUUCUUGGAUUUAUUGAAGACUAACUACUGCGAAAGCAUUUGCCAAGGAUGUUUUCAUUAAUCAAGAACGA
rnacentral:rRNA from 1 species